AAGUCGUAACAAGGUUUCCGUAGGUGAACCUGCGGAAGGAUCAUUAACACGUAUCCCGUGAACUUUCAGCUUGUGAAAGCAGCAAUCCCUGGUAAAUCAUUGUUGACCAGCUUUUGAGUCAGGGACCUCUGCAGAUUGUGAUACGGUUGAGCGAUUGCAUCUAGUGACCUGCAAGUAAUCAGUGUUCUGAAAGUGUCACGAUCGCUGUAGGCCCACACGGCCGGCGACCGGGUCGCCUUUACGACAGCGUGAAAUUCGCACGGCACCAAAAACCGAACAACUGUUAACGGUUC
rnacentral:misc_RNA from 1 species